GAGAGGCCAGACAGAAAUCCAUCUUCUCCAACCCAUCCUAAUCCAAGUCUCCAAUAUUGCAACCAGUAUAGAGUUUGACUGGAUGCUGAGCACUGAGACAACAGUGGUGCACGGUGACUUGGUCAGCUGGGAUGUCACCCUCCUGGCCCCAGAAUCCAGAGGAAUGAUGGGAGCCAGCAGCAAGCAUUGAGCGAGGCCAGCAAAGUGACUCUGUUUCUGAAACUGGUCCCACAGCAGACUCUGCUGCAGGAGCAGCACAUCCUGGGGCAGUAUUCAGAGGAGCUAUCUAAUUCCCGGCCAAGGAAAAGCCCACUGCAGAGCCUGCAGCAGACUCAUUCGGGACAGAAGCCACCCAAGCCUGGCAGAUGCUAUCAAGCACCAAGCGAUCUGAUGCCUGUCACAGAAAGUCAUGCACCAGAAGCUGAUACAGCAAGACAAUUAAUGAAUGAACAAAUCUCUUUCAGAGGCCUGUCUGUGGAAGAGACUGUGGGUUUUGCCUCUAGUGAGAAACACAAUAUGAAACAAGUCUUAAGUGCACCCAAGCUACUGUGACUUUCAGUUUCAUUCUUUCAUUGGGAAGCAAGGGACAGACGGCUAGGCAGACAGACAAAGAUUUACUGAAUGCUUUUUUGUUCACCAGCCAUUUUAUGAAUGAAUGCAGACAAUAAAUAGUGCUAUGCUUGAGCUACCAAGCAGAUACCAAAGUUAUAUUUCAAAUUUUAGAUGCUCCUUCCAUUUGUAAAGGUUCAAGCUGUCCCAGCUUCACAGUGUAUGAUGACCUCAGCAAGAAGCUCCUCUAGUAAAUUAUGGCUAUACAUUUGGCUGGGUCUAAUGUGGAUAUAUUUUGGAAUAGAAAUGCCUGAAAAUAUUUUAAGAGCAAAAUGUUCCCAUAUCUUAAAUUUAUGCUGAAGUACAUUACUGUUAAAUGACCAGAUGUAAAACUAUUGCUUCACUCUGCAGGUAUGUAUCUAUUAAGAAAUAAUGCCAAUGGACCAGAAUGCUGUUAUAGAAUAAUGUCUCCUAUUGGGGAUCUACAGAACUCUGAGAUUAAGGCAGAAGUAUCAAAAAUAACCAAGUCACAACUGGAACAUUUAUUUUCACUAUGGAUGGAGAUCAAAACAGGAAGAUCUCCAGGAAGAAAAUCCAAGUUGAAGAGGCAAGUAGCCGGAAGCUAAUAACCCCAUUAACUAUUUUGGAAGGCUGGAGGUAAUUUCAUGAUUAGUAGACACCUGUGUAAGCAGCUUUAUGUUUAGUUUAGCAAUUGAGAGGGUGGUUUACUGCAUACUUUUAUGUAUAACUUUCCUAUGAUAAUCCUCGGGUAAGUGUGUAUAUCUCAUUUUUUUAUGCUGAUUUGGAAGAGAUUGAAUUAGAUUGAAACCACCAACUCAUUCACACAGACCAAACAAUUGUUGGAUGAUAACUUUCAGUCACUAAUGACUUAGCCUGGAUUUGAACUGGUGACCCAGAAAGCAAAAAGCUGAAUCCUAUUAUAAGCCACCCUAAGUGCAGUUUAGCUACUGUUUUGAACCUUCCUGUGCUUAACUGAAUUAAAAUGAAGGGCCACUGGAAUCCUGGCAUACUUUAGGACCAACUUGAUCACAGAUGUAGAACAAUAAUCUGGCAAAGUUUAGGCAGUUCUGCUUCUGUGGCACAUAUAGCAUGUAACUGUUUGCUGCAAUAGAAAGUCAGAAUGCACUGUUGGUUGCAGACUUCAUGGCAAUGGGUUAUUCUCCUCUGUGAGAAUUUAACCAUUUCAGCAUGCAGAUCAUUUUCCAGAAUGUGUACAUGAAAAAACAUGACAAUGGGGUAUGGGGGCAGGGGGAAAGACACAACAGGGGCUAUUCUACAAAUCA